AAUGGGCGAAAGCCUGAUGCAGCAACGCCGCGUGAGGGACGAAGGCCUUCGGGUCGUAAACCUCUUUUCUGGGGGACGAGUAAGGACGGUACCCCAGGAAUAAGUCUCGGCUAACUACGUGCCAGCAGCCGCGGUAAAACGUAGGAGGCGAGCGUUAUCCGGAUUUACUGGGCGUAAAGCGUACGCAGGUGGCUUCGUUAGUCGGACAUGAAAGCUCCUGGCUUAACUGGGAGAGGUUGUUCGAUACUGCGGGGCUUGAGGUUGGGAGAGGGACGUGGAAUUCCCGGUGUAGUGGUGGAAUGCGUAGAUAUCGGGAGGAACACCAGUGGCGCAAGCGGCGUCCUGGCCCACACCUGACGCUGAGGUACGAAAGCGUGGGUAGCAAA
rnacentral:rRNA from 1 species